UCCGAGAUUGUUCAAUGGAAGAACGGCACCAGUCUGAGGGCAUAAAGAUUUGGGUGCAGGUGGCGGUUCGAAUCCGUCUCUCGGAG
rnacentral:tRNA from 1 species